GAAAGGUCAUGGAAACAUGGCUGGAUGCUUACAUACCGGCAUCCCAAUUAGG
rfam:Firmicutes bacterium CAG:646 genomic scaffold, scf8